UUACAGUUACUUCUUUUACAAAACAAAACAAUCUGUUAGGUUUUGGUUACAAUAUUAUUCAUUACUUACAACUAAUAUUAAAAUUUUCCUUCUUUCUCUGUUUUGAAAGUGUUAUAUAGCGUAAGAAUUCUCUAAUUUUUUUUUUUUUUUUUCUUGAGACGGAGUCUCGCUCUGUCGCCCAGGCUGGAGUGCAGUGGCGCGAUCUCGGGUCACUGCAAGCUCCACCUCCUGGGUUCACGCCAUUCUCCUGCCUCAGCCUCCCGGGGAAGCUGGAACUACAGGCAACCGCCACCACACCCGGCUAAUUUUUUGUAUUUUUAGUAGAGACGGGGUUUCACCGUGUUAGCCAGGAUGGUCUCGAUCUCCUGACCUAGUGAUCCGCCCGCCUCGGCCUCCCGAAGUGCUGGGAUUACAGGCGUGAGCCACUGCGCCCGGCCAAGAAUUCUCUAAUCUUUACAUGCUUAGUGGAACUCUCCCAGGAAAGCAUCUACUCUCAGGACUUGGAAAGAAUUGGCAACAGAUUCCAUUUAUCUUUGUUGAGAACUUUGAACUUCUCUAUGGAUUUGUUUUGCUGUCUUAUAAUGCACUUUGAUAAGGGCUUAAGUCAAAUUAGCCUCUUUAGCAUGAUGAUUUGCUCAAGGUAAAAAAGUGUUUUUAUUUAAUAAAAAUUGAUGUGAUAUCAUUAUAUAUGCAGGUGAUUCUACAAGAGCU
rnacentral:lncRNA from 1 species